AAAUAAAACUGGGUUCUGAUUCAAGCUUUGGGCACCAAGUGACCAAAAUAAGAUGCGGAAAUUACACAAUGCAUUAGAGUAGGGGUAGCAAAGUAACCAGAAUCAUGGAUUCUGGAGCCAGACACCCCGGGUUCAAACUGUGACUCCAUCACUUCUGGCUGAGUAAUCUUGGGUAAGUUAGUUAACCACUCAGUGUCCCCACUGAAUCUGUAAAUGAUACGCUAACAGUAAUAUCCCAGAAGGCUGUUGGGAGGAAUGAGUGUCAAAGUCGUAACUCCCCUGGAGCACUGCCUGCCCGGUAGCAGCCCUCAGUUAUUAUUAUUGGCCUUAAACACUCGGAGACCCAGAGCAACCCAUCACCCUCUGUCUGUGCCAGGAGCAUAAAAAAGACUUCAGCGAACAAGUAAUCAUAAAGUAUUCUGCAAGUAAAGUGCAAACGAAGAAGAAGAAUGGGGAUAAUUGUUUUGUAAAACGUUUUCAGAGUUCAUUAUCACCCACGCUCAGGCUCAUGACCCCAUCUUUCACACCUCUUCAUCCCGCACCACACACACGGUGAUGUAAGAGGCUCGGCAACUGGAAUUUUAGAUUUUAUCUUGCACUUCAAGAAAAGGGAAUGAGAAAAGACUCAGCUUUUGGCUCAAACACCAAGGCAAGGGCAAAUCAAAGCCACUAUGAGAAAAUGAUCUGGAGCAACACAAUAAAAAAUUUAAAAAAAAAAAACUCACAAUGCCACUACAGUUAAAUAAAUAACGCUCUGCUAAACAAAGACAGAAGUUUAGGGU